rnacentral:rRNA from 1 species
GAUGAACGCUGGCGGCGUGCCUAAUACAUGCAAGUCGAGCGAACAGACGAGGGGCUUGCUCCUCUGACGUUAGCGGCGGACGGGUGAGUAACACGUGGAUAACCUACCUAUAAGACUGGGAUAACUUCGGGAAACCGGAGCUAAUACCGGAUAAUAUAUUGAACCGCAUGGUUCAAUAGUGAAAGACGGUUUUGCUGUCACUUAUAGAUGGAUCCGCGCCGCAUUAGCUAGUUGGUAAGGUAACGGCUUACCAAGGCAACGAUGCGUAGCCGACCUGAGAGGGUGAUCGGCCACACUGGAACUGAGACACGGUCCAGACUCCUACGGGAGGCAGCAGUAGGGAAUCUUCCGCAAUGGGCGAAAGCCUGACGGAGCAACGCCGCGUGAGUGAUGAAGGUCUUCGGAUCGGAAAACUCUGUUAUUAGGGAAGAACAAAUGUGUAAGUAACUAUGCACGUCUUGACGGUACCUAAUCAGAAAGCCAGGGCUAACUACGUG